rnacentral:rRNA from 1 species
AGAGUUUGAUCCUGGCUCAGGACGAACGCUGGCGGCGUGCUUAACACAUGCAAGUCGAGCGGUCAAGGCCCCUUCGGGGGUACACGAGCGGCGAACGGGUGAGUAACACGUGAGCAACCUACCCUCAACUUUGGGAUAAGCCUCGGAAACGGGGUCUAAUACCGGAUAUGACUUCUGCCUUCAUGGGUGGUGGUUGAAAGUUCUGGCGGUUGGGGAUGGGCUCGCGGCCUAUCAGCUUGUUGGUGGGGUAAUGGCCUACCAAGGCUUCGACGGGUAGCCGGCCUGAGAGGGCGACCGGCCACACUGGGACUGAGACACGGCCCAGACUCCUACGGGAGGCAGCAGUGGGGAAUAUUGCGCAAUGGACGAAAGUCUGACGCAGCAACGCCGCGUGAGGGAUGACGGCCUUCGGGUUGUAAACCUCUUUCAGCAGGGACGAAGCGAGAGUGACGGUACCUGCAGAAGAAGGACCGGCCAACUACGUGCCAGCAGCCGCGGUA